AUUAUAGAUAUAUUAUUUGUUGCUCAAAAAAAAAGAAGAAGAUAGAUAUAUUAUUUGUUUGCUGUUGAAUGUAACACAGACAAAUCUGAUGUUGAACAAACUACAAGAAGCAUCAAUUGCAACUGCAAGGGUAAGACCAGGUUUCAUACAAUAUGAUUUGUCUGCUCAGGAUGUGUGGGUUCUGUGAGACUUGCUCUAGCAGCCAAUCUUUUUUUUCGUUUUCUUUGAAAGAAGUGUUAAUUGUAUUCAUCUCAAAUACAUUUGUACAAUGAAUGCAUCUUACUUUAAAAGUUUCAUAAUCACUAACACAUUGAACAUGAAGGAAUACCGGUUAGAAACGGUUAACUACCCGAACCUGAUUUUGUGAGCGUACCGGUUUACUAAUAUUCAGAGAGUCCGUUUCGAAAACGUCACACUACUUGCAAAUUUUGUUUCAAUUUCAGUAUACAGAGAGUUUCAAUUUUAGCUAUGACGACCAGAGCUUUGCUUGCGGCUAUAUCUGGUUGUCCUCGCAGGAACAUAAUCAACUCAUCAACUUUUUCUCCAAGUCUUCAUUUCCAAAGACAAGAGAGUAUAAUAAUAGCUCGAAGUUUCUCGUCUGACACGAACUCCUCCCUGCCGGACAUAUCUCGUCUUGCUGAGACAGCUCGAAUCUCUCUCACUCCGGCCGAGAUUGAGGAAUGUGAACCUAAGAUCCGUCAAGUCAUCGACUGGUUUGGCCAGCUUCAACAAGUCGAUGUUAACAGUGUUGAGCCUGCGAUUAGAGCAGGUCUCAAUCAUUACACAACUUCCUUCUUUACUUGGUGUUUGCGAUUCUGUUUGUGUGAGUUUGUAAAUGGAAGGAGGAAGUUUGCGAGAGGAUGCUCCCCAAACAUUCGAGAACAGGGAUAAUAUCAGAGCUUCCAUUCCAAGCUUUGAUGAAACAUAUUUAAAAGUCCCCAAAGUACUAAACAAAGAGUGACUUUUGUUCAGCUUCUCCGUCUUGUGUAGCUGAAGAGAUUGUUCAUUAUCAGCUCCUCGGUCCUUGUUUCAUCAUCUAUGUUUUGUUUAAUUGUUUAGCAGAGACCAACAAAAUAAUACAUUGUAUCUGUACCUAAACUCAAUCCAUUUCAUAUCCACUGAUC